rnacentral:rRNA from 1 species
UGGGGAAUCUUGGACAAUGGGCGCAAGCCUGAUCCAGCCAUGCCGCGUGAGUGAAGAAGGCCUUCGGGUUGUAAAGCUCUUUUACCAGGGACGAUAAUGACGGUACCUGGAGAAUAAGCCCCGGCAAACUUCGUGCCAGCAGCCGCGGUAAUACGAAGGGGGCUAGCGUUGUUCGGAAUUACUGGGCGUAAAGCGCACGUAGGCGGAUUGUUAAGUCAGAGGUGAAAUCCCGGAGCUCAACUUCGGAACUGCCUUUGAUACUGGCAAUCUAGAGUCCGGAAGAGGUUAGCGGAAUUCCCAGUGUAGAGGUGAAAUUCGUAGAUAUUGGGAAGAACACCAGUGGCGAAGGCGGCUAACUGGUCCGGUACUGACGCUGAGGUGCGAAAGCGUGGGGAGCAAACAGGAUUAGAUACCCAAGUAGUCCCUGAGCGGGCUGGCAAGGCGCAU